CCUCACUUAGCUAAAUGAUUCACACAAAUCACUAAUAGCCAACUCAAAUUCAUCCUUAAUUUCUCCUAUAACAAAAUUCAUCAAAAUUUAAUAAGAAAUACAUCAAAUUCCAUGACCGAAUUUGCAUUUAUAAAAAAAAAACAAAAUCCUUGCAUCUCGUUAAUAUGUCCAAUUGCAAAAAUUGCUUAAUUCAUCACCUAAGCAACAUAAAACUCCAUUACAAUCACAAUUAUUCAUUCCUUAAAACCAACAUUCAACUAUCAAUAAUUUAGCAAAACUCAUGUAAAUGGCCGAAUGCUAUAUCCUCAACCAAAACUAAAGUUUUAACAUGGGCUACGUAGGAAACUAUGUAAUUAACUCAAUUUUCACAAGAAUUUGAAGAUAGCACAUGAAACAUACCUUAAUUUGGAUGCUAAAAUAGCCGAAAGUUUGAUCUCUCCUAUCCCCUCUUUUUUCUUUUAAGAAAUCGGCAAUGAAGAACAAGAGUAAUUAACCUUGUUCUUUUCACCCAUUUACUUAUUUUAUUAUAAUAUAAAAUUGUUAUUACAUAUUAUAAUACAUUUAUAUAUAUA
rnacentral:lncRNA from 1 species